rnacentral:rRNA from 1 species
AGCAUUAUACCGUGAACUGCGAAUGGCUCAUUAAAUCAGUUAUCGUUUAUUUGAUAGUACCUUACUACUUGGAUAACCGUGGUAAUUCUAGAGCUAAUACAUGCUAAAAACCCCGACUUCGGAAGGGGUGUAUUUAUUAGAUAAAAAACCAAUGCCCUUCGGGGCUCCUUGGUGAUUCAUGAUAACUUAACGGAUCGCAUGGCCUUGCGCCGGCGACGGUUCAUUCAAAUUUCUGCCCUAUCAACUUUCGAUUGUAGGGUAUUGGCCUACAAUGGUUUCAACGGGUAACGGGGAGUUAGGGCUCGACUCCGGAGAGGGAGCCUGAGAAACGGCUACCACAUCCAAGGAAGGCAGCAGGCGCGCAAAUUACCCAAUCCCGACACGGGGAGGUAGUGACAAUAAAUACUGAUACAGGGCUCUUUUGGGUCUUGUAAUUGGAAUGAGUACAAUUUAAAUACCUUAACGAGGAACAAUUGGAGGGCAAGUCUGGUGCCAGCAGCCGCGGUAAUUCCAGCUCCAAUAGCGUAUAUUAAAGUUGUUGCAGUUAAAAAGCUCGUAGUUGAACCUUGGGCCUGGCUGGCCGGUCCGCCUCACCGCGUGCACUGGUCCGGCCGGGCCUUUCCUUCUGGAGAGCCGCAUGCCCUUCACUGGGUGUGUCGGGGAACCAGGACUUUUACUUUGAGAAAAUUAGAGUGUUCAAAGCAGGCCUUUGCUCGAAUACGUUAGCAUGGAAUAAUAGAAUAGGACGUGCGGUCCUAUUUUGUUGGUUUCUAGGACCGCCGUAAUGAUUAAUAGGGAUAGUCGGGGGCAUCAGUAUUCAAUUGUCAGAGGUGAAAUUCUUGGAUUUAUUGAAGACUAACUACUGCGAAAGCAUUUGCCAAGGAUGUUUUCAUUAAUCAGUGAACGAAAGUUAGGGGAUCGAAGACGAUCAGAUACCGUCGUAGUCUUAACCGUAAACUAUGCCGACUAGGGAUCGGGCGAUGUUAUUAUUUUGACUCGCUCGGCACCUUACGAGAAAUCAAAGU